rnacentral:tRNA from 1 species
CAGGGGAUAGUUUAGUUAAAAUAUUAGUUUUGGAGAUUAAUGAAAAGAGUAGUCUUUCCCCUGA